GAUGAACGCUGGCGGCGUGCUUAACACAUGCAAGUCGAACGAAGCACUUUAUUAUGAUUUCUUCGGAAUGACGAUUUAGUGACUGAGUGGCGGACGGGUGAGUAACGCGUGGGUAACCUGCCUUAUACAGGGGGAUAACAGUUAGAAAUGACUGCUAAUACCGCAUAAGCGCACAGGAUUGCAUGAUCUAGUGUGAAAAACUCCGGUGGUAUAAGAUGGACCCGCGUCUGAUUAGCUAGUUGGUGAGGUAACGGCCCACCAAGGCGACGAUCAGUAGCCGACCUGAGAGGGUGACCGGCCACAUUGGGACUGAGACACGGGCCCAGACUCCUACGGGAGGCAGCAGUGGGGAAUAUUGCACAAUGGAGGAAACUCUGAUGCAGCGACGCCGCGUGAGUGAAGAAGUAGUUCGCUAUGUAAAGCUCUAUCAGCAGGGAAGA
rnacentral:rRNA from 1 species